rnacentral:misc_RNA from 1 species
UCCGUUGUGCGCCGCUCUUUUUGCGACUCCUCGCAGCUGGCCUUGAACCCCCCCCCCCACUCCCGUCCCCUGCCGAUCUUCUCCAGUUCGACCCGCUCCAACGCAAGCCCUUUUGAUUUGUUUCUCACGUGAGUCACGAUGCGCUCCUCGUUCGUGCAUAAGGCGGCCGCCGCAGCGGCUGGUGGGGGUAUGACCGCAACGUCUAGCGAUCACAAGAUGGCAUCGCUGCACAAGCUUCUCACUGGUGAGGUGCAGUUCCGCAACAACGCCCUGCUGAAGGCGUGCAACAUCGAGCACAACUUCGGUUCCAAGUGGAAGUCAGACAUUGAGGCGUACGCGAAGUGCCUGCCGCCGGACGAGAGGAGCUGUCUGGAGCGCCAGGUCGCGCGCGUCACGCUGACGCGCUACACGACUCGCGAGCUUGCCGAGUACUGCGGCGAGGGCCCGGAGCACGUGGACGCGGUGGCGCGUGAGGCGAACAUUGCACAGGCCAAGGCGUAUGCGCAGAAAAACGGCGCCGACAAGCUGGAGGCCUACGUGAAAGCCGAGUCUAAGAACGCCGGCUGGUCCGAGGCCGAGGCGAAGAACUUUAUGGAUGCCGUGAAAGCGGCCAAAUAAGUGCUUGUCAAGAAACCGUCCAGCGAGGCGUGAGGGGUGGUGACGUCGCGCUGCACUUGCUAACCUGGUCUGGACGAUAUCGUGCCCAUCGUUGAUCGUAGGCAAGCUUUCGUGUCUUUGCUGAUCCGCCUCUGUGUGACCCUUCUCUCGCUUUCUGUGCUCUGUGUGCAGCACCGGAACCCUCUCUCUCUCUCUCUCUGCACGAGGCAGAGGCGCUUAUACGCGUGCGUGUACAACAACAAAGAGAGGGCUCAGGCAGAAGCGGUUGCCGAAGUGGGUGUGCAUGUGUGUGCACACACCAGGGGUCGGAGAAACAUCGCGAAUCAACACGGUAGGCACGCCCAUGGACGAAGACGCGUGCGAGCCCCGCCAUGCUUUUUUCUCGCUGUUCGCGUUGUUGUUGUUUUAGUGUAGUUUAGCGGACGAAAAGAAAAUUGAAGCACUCUCGUUGGUGCGGUAACGCGCGUCAGUGAACAGGAUGCCGGCGUUCCAGGGUGCGCGCAUGUGUCUGUGAAACUUGUGAGUUGGUGAAGGAGGAACGCAUGAGGGAAGGGGAUGGCGAUGGUGGUGGACCAGAACUAGAGACAAGUACUGCCCUUGAAGUGGCCAUGGGGAUGCCAAAGAGGCGCUCGGGGCUUCGGAUGUCUCCUGAGGCGUUUUUUUGUUGUUUUGCGAAUCUGUACUUGAUGGCGUGCUGGUGCCUGUUUCCCUGCGUUCCGUUGUGCACACCCACCCACACACACGCCCCCUUCUCCCCUCUCUCUAUCGCGACGCGCUGAACCCAAGAAAUGACGACGGCCUAGGAAUGGAAGAGCUCUUCUUGGAUUAAAAAAAAAACAGCAAGAAAAUAUUGACACGACAGCGUACUAGUCACGCGUAUCAUUGGUACGAGGAAAGGGACUAGCCUAUCGUAAGAGAAGAUCGGAGCUACUGCAGCUCUCAAAAUGUUCGCUGACGACCGCCGGUCGAGGAUCGAUAGCGUUGCAGGAUCGGCGUAUUGGAGCCGAACCUUGCGGCACUUCUAUGAUCAUCGCCGCCUGCAUUUCCGACGCGUGCCGUUUCGUCCAAACGGUGGGGUGGCGGUGGUGGUGACAGCUUCAGGGUCAUCAUGUUGUGACCUAUCGGUGAGAACUCCACUCUUUGUCUCAUCUUACUACUCGUGCAUCCUCCGGUGAGGCUUGACCUUUUCCUUUGGUAG